UUCCACGUGGCCUAACGGAUAAGGCGUCUGAUUUCGAAGUAGAAGACUGCAUGUUCGAAUACUGUCGCGGACG
rnacentral:tRNA from 1 species